UAGCUACUCUCUCUGUCCGAAAAUACUUGUCAUCAAAAUGGAUAGAAAAAGGGCGUAUCUAGAACUAAAAUAUAUCUAGAUACAUUCUUUUUUAUUCAUUUUGAUGACAAGUAUUUCCGGACGGAGAGAGUAUUAA
rfam:Triticum aestivum genome assembly, contig: Triticum_aestivum_CS42_TGACv1_scaffold_211065_3AS